UUAAAUUGAAGAGUUUGAUCAUGGCUCAGAUUGAACGCUGGCGGCAGGCCUAACACAUGCAAGUCGAACGGUAACAGGAAACAGCUUGCUGUUUCGCUGACGAGUGGCGGACGGGUGAGUAAUGUCUGGGAAACUGCCUGAUGGAGGGGGAUAACUACUGGAAACGGUAGCUAAUACCGCAUAACGUCGCAAGACCAAAGAGGGGGACCUUCGGGCCUCUUGCCAUCGGAUGUGCCCAGAUGGGAUUAGCUAGUAGGUGGGGUAACGGCUCACCUAGGCGACGAUCCCUAGCUGGUCUGAGAGGAUGACCAGCCACACUGGAACUGAGACACGGUCCAGACUCC
rnacentral:rRNA from 1 species